rnacentral:rRNA from 1 species
GAUGAACGCUAGCGGUGCGCCUAACACAUGCAAGUCGAGCGAUAUAGCGGCGAACGGGUGAGUAACACGUUGGAACCUGCCUCGGACUCAGGGAUAACAUCGAGAAAUCGGUGCUAAUACCGGAUAGUCCCGCAAGGGUAAAGCUUUUGCGGUCCGAGAGGGGCCUGCGCAGUAUCAGCUUGUUGGUAGUGUAAUAGACUACCAAGGCUACGACGCUUAACUGGUCUGAGAGGAUGAUCAGUCACAAUGGAACUGAGACACGGUCCAUACUCCUACGGGAGGCAGCAGUGAGGAAUCUUCCGCAAUGGGCGAAAGCCUGAUGCAGCAACGCCGCGUGAGGGAUGAAGGCCCUCGGGUCGUAAACCUCUGUCGGGAGGGAAGAAAGUAUUUCGGGUUAAUACCCCGGAGUACUGACGGUACCUUCAAAGGAAGCGCCGGCUAACUCCGUG